rnacentral:rRNA from 1 species
CCUACGGGCGGCAGCAGUGAGGAAUAUUGGUCAAUGGACGUAAGCCUGAACCAGCCAAGUCGCGUGAGGGAUGAAGGUUCUAUGGAUCGUAAACCUCUUUUAUAGGGGAAUAAAUUGCGGUACGUGUCGCAUUUUGUAUGUACCUUAUGAAUAAGGAUCGGCUAACUCCGUGCCAGCAGCCGCGGUAAUACGGAGGAUCCGAGCGUUAUCCGGAUUUAUUGGGUUUAAAGGGUGCGUAGGCGGCUUUUUAAGUCAGUUGUGAAAGUCUGUGGCUCAACCAUAGAAUUGCAGUUGAAACUGGGAGGCUGGAGUAUGGUAGAGGCAGGCGGAAUGCGUGGUGUAGCGGUGAAAUGCUUAGAUAUCACGAAGAACACCGAUUGCGAAGGCAGUCCGCUAGACUAUGACUGACGCUGAGGCACGAAAGCGUGGGGAUCAAACAGGAUUAGAUACCCUGGUAGUC